rfam:Triticum aestivum genome assembly, contig: Triticum_aestivum_CS42_TGACv1_scaffold_272946_3DS
AUAAUACUCCAUCCAUCCGAAAAUACUUGUCAGAGAAAUGGUUAAAAAUGGAUGUAUUUAGAACAAAAAUAUGUCUAAAUACAUCCAAUCCUCCGACAAGUAUUUCCGGAUGGAGGGAGUGGCAU